UACGUAGGGUGCAGGCGUUAAUCGGAAUUACUGGGCGUAAAGCGUGCGCAGGCGGUUUCUCAAGUCAGAUGUGAAAGCCCCCGGGCUUAACCUGGGAACUGCGUUUGAAACUGGGAGACUUGAGUGUGGCAGGAGGGGGGUGGAAUUCCGACGUGUAGCAGUGAAAUGCGUAGAUAUGUGGAGGAACACCGAUGGCGAAGGCAGCCCCCUGGGUUAACACUGACGCUCAUGCACGAAAGCGUGGGGAGCAAACAGG
rnacentral:rRNA from 1 species